UACGAAGGGUGCAAGCGUUGUUCGGAUUUAUUGGGCGUAAAGGGCAUGUAGGCGGAUAUGAUAAGUCAGGUGUGAAAUCUCAGGGCCUAACCCUGAAACUGCGCCUGAAACUGGAUAUCUAGAAUCCCAUAGAGGAAAAGGGAAUUUCUCAUGUAGGAGUAAAAUCCGUAGAGAUGAGAAGGAACAUCAGAGGCGAAGGCGCUUUUCUGGAUGGAGAUUGACGCUAAGGUGCGAAAGCGUGGGGAGCAAACAGG
rnacentral:rRNA from 1 species